rnacentral:rRNA from 1 species
CAGCACCUCAAGUGGUCAGGAUGAUUAUUGGGCCUAAAGCAUCCGUAGCCGGCGCUGUAAGUUUUCGGUUAAAUCUGUACGCUCAACGUACAGGCUGCCGGGAAUACUGCAGCGCUAGGGAGUGGGAGAGGUAGACGGUACUCGGUAGGAAGGGGUAAAAUCCUUUGAUCUAUUGAUGACCACCAGUGGCGAAGGCGGUCUACCAGAACACGUCCGACGGUGAGGGAUGAAAGCUGGGGGAGCAAACCGGAUUAGAGACCCGAGUAGUCC